rnacentral:rRNA from 1 species
UACGAAGGGUGCAAGCGUUAAUCGGAAUUACUGGGCGUAAAGGGUGCGUAGGCGGUUCGUUAAGUCUGGCGUGAAAUCCCCGGGCUCAACCUGGGAAUGGCGAUGGAUACUGGCGAGCUAGAGUGUGUCAGAGGAUGGUGGAACUCCCUGUGUAGCGGUGAAAUGCGUAGAGAUCGGGAGGAACAUCAGUGGCGAAGGCGGCCAUCUGGGACAACACUGACGCUGAAGCACGAAAGCGUGGGGAGCAAACAGG